GGAGCGGUGGCCGAGUGGCUGAUGGCACCAGCCUGAUAAGCUGGAAAUCGUUCUAACAAAUGAUUCAUGGGUUCGAAUCCCAUCCGCUCCG
rnacentral:tRNA from 1 species